UUGCUAUGGGACGACUGUCGAUGACUUGC
rnacentral:sRNA from 1 species